rnacentral:rRNA from 1 species
UACAGAGGGUGCAAGCGUUGUUCGGAAUUAUUGGGCGUAAAGCGCGUGUAGGCGGCUUUGCAAGUCGGGUGUGAAAGCCCUCAGCUUAACUGAGGAAGUGCGCCCGAAACUGCUUGGCUUGAGUACCGGAGAGGAUGGCGGAAUUCCCCAAGUAGAGGUGAAAUUCGUAGAUAUGGGGAGGAACACCGGUGGCGAAGGCGGCCUUCUGGACAGUGACUGACGCUGAGACGCGAAAGCGUGGGGAGCAAACAGG